rnacentral:rRNA from 1 species
GAGUAACGCGUAUGACCAACCUACCUAUCGAGGAAGGGGAACGUAACCCGGCGAAAGUCGGACUAAUACCGCAAUAAAACAGGGGCACCGCAUGGUGAUAUUUGUUAAAGAAAUUCGCUGAUAGAUGGGCAUGCGUUCCAUUAGGUAGUUGGUGAGGUAACGGCUCACCAAGCCGACGAUGGAUAGGGGAACUGAGAGGUUGGUCCCCCACACUGGUACUGAGACACGGACCAGACUCCUACGGGAGGCAGCAGUGAGGAAUAUUGGUCAAUGGGCGGGAGCCUGAACCAGCCAAGUCGCGUGAAGGAAGAAGGAUCUAUGGUUCGUAAACUUCUUUUGCAGGGGAAUAAAGUGCAGGACGUGUCCUGUUUUGUAUGUACCCUGAGAAUAAGGAUCGGCUAACUCCGUGCCAGCCGCCGC